rnacentral:lncRNA from 1 species
UGCCAGCCUGGCUUGCUGAAGAAGAAAUUCUUUUCCCGCGUUUUUUCAGAUCUAGAAAGCAGGCAGGCAGACGGACCUACUUACUGCCUAAGGAAGGGAGCUUCAAAUGGGGGGCUGAGCUCCAAGGAGUGAUGUCACAGGCAACGAGGCUGCCUCUGCAAGCCUCCUGCCGAAUAGCCUGCCAGCCUCCAGCAAAGCGGCGACUCUAUUGAUGUCCUGAAGGAUUUGUUAUUACUAGCAGUUUAAGCGGCGACCAGGGAGAUAGAGCGCAAGGACCACGGGCGGCACCUGGCACGGAGGUCCCAAGCCUGCAACUCUGCUCAAAGCAAUGCUCCAGCUAAUUAAAUCAGCAUCACUUGGCAGAAGCCACACCCCCCCGCCUGAAAUGCAGAGAGAAAGGGCAUCAGCUGUAAGUCCAAGAGAAUUUUGGCUACUCCAGAAGGAGAGAAACUUGGCAUGACAGAAUCCUUGUUGAUAAUAGCCUCUCUUGCAAAGCUCUGAAGGUUUCCUGGACCAACAUCAAUGGGAGUUUGCUUCACUCUCCAUUUAAAGAAGCAUUAGACCACCUCACCACAGUGUAUUCAAUUCAACUCAACUAACAUUAAUCAAAUUGGGCUUGGAAUCAGGAAGACUCAUCUUCAUGAGUUCAAAUCUCACCUUAGACGCUUGCUAGCUGUGUGACCAUGGGCAAAUUGCCAAACACUGUUUGCCUCAGUUUCUCAUCUGUCAACUGAGCUGAAGAAGAAAAUGGCAAGCUACUCCGGUGUCUUUGCUCAGGAAAACCCCAAAUGGGGUCAUAAAGAGUCAGCAGUGACUGAAAUGACAAAAACAAAUGUCAAAUAACAAGGAAGAUACAGAAAUGUACUCUUCUUUUUCUAAGACCUUCCAAUAAUAACAUUAAAGAUUGUUUUUUAAUAGAAUUUACAUAUAUCAACAGGUUAAUGCUAUAUGUAUAUUCCCAUGUUUUAGAUACACUCAGACUUAUAGAGGAGAGAUGCCUCACUCAUUGUUAUAGAGAUUUCAAUUUAAUGGAAGAGAUGACAUGCAGACAAAUGACUCUAAUAUGAAAAGCUUAAAAGGAAACAUAGGCCCAUUAAUUUAGAAAGGUAAGGAAGUCUACAGAUUAUCUAGUUACAGGUCUAAUUUUCAUUGAGGUGAAAUAGGUUAUCCAAAAUCAUAGGAAAGGAUUGUUUUAGAGCCAGGAAUCAAAUUCAGGUCUCUGAUUCAUAUUAUUUAAGUUUUAGAAGCAUAAAUUGCCCUAUAAAGUAUUAUGGUGAUGAUGAUGAUACACAUUUAAUCUUUAAACUCCAGUUUUUUGUUGCUAAUGAGAGGUCAUAGGUUUUAUGCAAUCCUACUGAAAUUUAUCAAGUAUCUGUUAUAGUCAAAAUACAGAGUAAGGUGCUGGUGGAUUAAAAAAAAAAGAGCAAAACAACACUCAAGGAAACAAAACGUUAAAUAAAAGAAAUAAACCCUGUCUUUAGCA